rfam:Lottia gigantea unplaced genomic scaffold LOTGIsca_8, whole genome shotgun sequence.
GUAUUACUCACGUAAUACAUAUACUAAAAUUGGAACGAUACAGAGAAGAUUAGCAUGGCCCCUGCGCAA